rnacentral:rRNA from 1 species
UCAAGCGAACAAGUGCAUGUGGUGGAUGCCUUGGCGAUCACAGGCGAUGAAGGACGCGGUAGCCUGCGAAAAGCUACGGGGAGCUGGCAAACGAGCUUUGAUCCGUAGAUGUCCGAAUGGGGAAACCCGCCCUUUUGGGUCAUCCUAGACUGAAUACAUAGGUCUAGUGAAGCGAACGCGGUGAACUGAAACAUCUAAGUAACCGCAGGAAAAGAAAUCAACCGAGAUUCCCAAAGUAGUGGCGAGCGAAAUGGGAUGAGCCUUGCACUCUUUAUUUGUAUUGUUAGCCGAACGCUCUGGAAAGUGCGGCCAUAGCAGGUGAUAGCCCUGUAGGCGAAAACAGUAUGAAAGAACUAGGUGUGCGACAAGUAGGGCGGGACACGUGAAAUCCUGUCUGAAGAUGGGGGGACCAUCCUCCAAGGCUAAAUACUCGUGAUCGACCGAUAGUGAACCAGUACCGUGAGGGAAAGGCGAAAAGAACCCCGGGAGGGGAGUGAAAUAGAUCCUGAAACCGCAUGCAUACAAACAGUCGGAGCCUCGCAAGGGGUGACGGCGUACCUUUUGUAUAAUGGGUCAGCGACUUACGUUCAGUAGCAAGCUUAACCGUAUAGGGCAGGCGUAGCGAAAGCGAGUCCGAAUAGGGCGUUCAGUUGCUGGGCGUAGACCCGAAACCAGGUGAUCUAUCCAUGGCCAGGAUGAAGGUGCGGUAACACGUACUGGAGGUCCGAACCCACUAACGUUGAAAAGUUAGGGGAUGAGCUGUGGAUAGGGGUGAAAGGCUAAACAAACCUGGAAAUAGCUGGUUCUCUCCGAAAACUAUUUAGGUAGUGCCUCGUGUCUCACCUUCGGGGGUAGAGCACUGUCAUGGUUGGGGGGUCUAUUGCAGAUUACCCCGCCAUAGCAAACUCCGAAUACCGAAGAGUGCAAUCACGGGAGACAGACAUCGGGUGCUAACGUCCGGUGUCAAGAGGGAAACAACCCAGACCGCCAGCUAAGGUCCCCAAAUAUAGCUAAGUGGGAAACGAAGUGGGAAGGCUAAAACAGUCAGGAGGUUGGCUUAGAAGCAGCCACCCUUUAAAGAAAGCGUAAUAGCUCACUGAUCGAGUCGUCCUGCGCGGAAGAUGUAACGGGGCUAAGCUAUAUACCGAAGCUGCGGAUGCGAGCUUGCUCGCAUGGUAGGAGAGCGUUCCGUAAGCCUGCGAAGGUGCCUUGUAAAGGGUGCUGGAGGUAUCGGAAGUGCGAAUGCUGACAUGAGUAGCGAUAAAGGGGGUGAAAGGCCCCCUCGCCGUAAGCCCAAGGUUUCCUACGCAACGUUCAUCGGCGUAGGGUGAGUCGGCCCCUAAGGCGAGGCAGAAAUGCGUAGCUGAUGGGAAGCAGGUCAAUAUUCCUGCACCAUUGUUAGAUGCGAUGGGGGGACGGAUCGCGGAAGGUUGUCCGGGUGUUGGAAGUCCCGGUCGCUGCAUUGGAGAAGGCGCUUAGGCAAAUCCGGGCGCGUAAUUCAAGGGUGUGGCGCGAGCUCCUUAGGGAGCGAAGCAAUUGGAAGUGGUUCCAAGAAAAGCCUCUAAGCUUCAGUCUAACGAUGACCGUACCGCAAACCGACACAGGUGGGCGAGAUGAGUAUUCUAAGGCGCUUGAGAGAACUCGGGAGAAGGAACUCGGCAAAUUGGUACCGUAACUUCGGGAUAAGGUACGCCCUUGUAGCUUGACUGGCCUGCGCCAGGAGGGUGAAGGGGUUGCAAUAAACUGGUGGCUGCGACUGUUUAAUAAAAACACAGCACUCUGCAAACACGAAAGUGGACGUAUAGGGUGUGACGCCUGCCCGGUGCCGGAAGAUUAAAUGAUGGGGUGCAAGCUCUUGAUUGAAGUCCCGGUAAACGGCGGCCGUAACUAUAACGGUCCUAAGGUAGCGAAAUUCCUUGUCGGGUAAGUUCCGACCUGCACGAAUGGCGUAACGAUGGCCACACUGUCUCCUCCCGAGACUCAGCGAAGUUGAAGUGUUUGUGAUGAUGCAAUCUACCCGCGGCUAGACGGAAAGACCCCAUGAACCUUUACUGUAGCUUUGCAUUGGACUUUGAACCGAUCUGUGUAGGAUAGGUGGGAGGCUAUGAAACCGGAACGCUAGUUUCGGUGGAGCCGUCCUUGAAAUACCACCCUGGUUUGUUUGAGGUUCUAACCUUGGCCCGUGAUCCGGGUCGGGGACAGUGCAUGGUAGGCAGUUUGACUGGGGCGGUCUCCUCCCAAAGCGUAACGGAGGAGUACGAAGGUACGCUAGGUACGGUCGGAAAUCGUGCUGAUAGUGCAAUGGCAUAAGCGUGCUUAACUGCGAGACCGACAAGUCGAGCAGGUGCGAAAGCAGGUCAUAGUGAUCCGGUGGUUCUGUAUGGAAGGGCCAUCGCUCAACGGAUAAAAGGUACUCUGGGGAUAACAGGCUGAUACCGCCCAAGAGUUCAUAUCGACGGCGGUGUUUGGCACCUCGAUGUCGGCUCAUCUCAUCCUGGGGCUGUAGCCGGUCCCAAGGGUAUGGCUGUUCGCCAUUUAAAGAGGUACGUGAGCUGGGUUUAAAACGUCGUGAGACAGUUUGGUCCCUAUCUGCCGUGGGCGUUGGAUAUUUGAAGGGGGCUGCUCCUAGUACGAGAGGACCGGAGUGGACGAACCUCUGGUGUACCGGUUGUCACGCCAGUGGCAUCGCCGGGUAGCUAUGUUCGGAAGAGAUAACCGCUGAAAGCAUCUAAGCGGGAAACUCGCCUUAAGAUGAGAUAUCCCUGGGGACUAGAUCCCCUUGAAGGGUCGUUCGAGACCAGGACGUUGAUAGGUCAGGUGUGUAAGCGCAGUAAUGCGUUCAGCUAACUGAUACUAAUUGCCCGUAAGGCUUGAUCCU